rnacentral:rRNA from 1 species
CCCUUAGAUGUCCGGGGCUGCACGCGCGCUACACUGAAGGAAUCAGCGUGCUAAAACCAUUGUCGAAAGGCAUUGGUAAACCCAUUAAAAUCCUACGUGAUUGGGAUCGGGAAUUGCAAUUAUUUCCCUUGAACGAGGAAUUCCCAGUAAGUGUGGGUCAUAAGCUCGCGUUGAUUACGUCCCUGCCCUUUGUACACACCGCCCGUCGCUGCCCGGGACUGAGCCGUUUCGAGAAAAGCGGGGACUGCUGCUAUCGGGGCUUUCGGGCCUUGGCUUCGGUGGAAACCGCUUUAAUCGCANUNGCUUGANCCGGGCAAAANUCGUANCA